rnacentral:rRNA from 1 species
AGUGAACGCUGGCGGUAGGCCUAACACAUGCAAGUCGAACGGCAGCACAGUAAGAGCUUGCUCUUACGGGUGGCGAGUGGCGGACGGGUGAGGAAUACAUCGGAAUCUACUUUUUCUUGGGGGAUAACGUAGGGAAACUUACGCUAAUACCGCAUACGACCUACGGGUGAAAGCAGGGGAUCUUCGGACCUUGCGCGAUUGAAUGAGCCGAUGUCGGAUUAGCUAGUUGGCGGGGUAAAGGCCCAUCAAGGCGACGAUCCGUAGCUGGUCUGAGAGGAUGAUCAGCCACACUGGAACUGAGACACGGUCCAGACUCCUACGGGAGGCAGCAGUGGGGAAUAUUGGACAAUGGGCGCAAGCCUGAUCCAGCCAUACCGCGUGGGUGAAGAAGGCCUUCGGGUUGUAAAGCCCUUUUGUUGGGAAAGAAAAGCAGCAGGUUAAUACCCCGCUGUUCUGACGGUACCCAAAGAAUAAGCACCGGCUAACUUCGUG